GAUGAACGCUGGCGGCGUGCUUAACACAUGCAAGUCGAACGGUGAACACGGAGCUUGCUCUGUGGGAUCAGUGGCGAACGGGUGAGUAACACGUGAGCAACCUGCCCCUGACUCUGGGAUAAGCGCUGGAAACGGCGUCUAAUACUGGAUAUGUGACGUGACCGCAUGGUCUGCGUUUGGAAAGAUUUUUCGGUUGGGGAUGGGCUCGCGGCCUAUCAGCUUGUUGGUGAGGUAAUGGCUCACCAAGGCGUCGACGGGUAGCCGGCCUGAGAGGGUGACCGGCCACACUGGGACUGAGACACGGCCCAGACUCCUACGGGAGGCAGCAGUGGGGAAUAUUGCACAAUGGGCGCAAGCCUGAUGCAGCAACGCCGCGUAAGGGAUGACGGCCUUCGGGUUGUAAACCUCUUUUAGCAGGGAAGAAGCGAAAGUGACGGUACCUGCAGAAAAAGCGCCGGCUAACUACGUG
rnacentral:rRNA from 1 species